rnacentral:lncRNA from 1 species
UCUCUCUCUCUCUGGUAGUCAAAACCCCCUGCUAAGUGGUGCCAAUAGAAAAAUUUGGAAAUGUCAGUUUACAAAAAUUAAAUGGCUUAUAAGACGGAACUUUGAAUUUCGGUUACCAAAUUUUGUAAGUGUUAUAAGACGGAACUUCAAGUUCCUGGAAAGUUAGUCUAUAAGACGGAACUUUAAGUUCCAUAUAAGAUAUAAAGUGUAUAAGACGGAACUGUGUGUUCUGAAAAAGUAUUAAACCGGAACACGGUGUUCCGUCUUAUGCAAUUAACGUAUAAAGCGUAUAAGACGGAACUGUGUGUUCCAAAAAAGUGUUUAAUCGGAACACAGUGUUCUGUCUUAUGCAAUUAACAUGGCAUUUUGGAUGACACUCUACUCCUCUCUCAAAUGCCAUUGGAACUUCUAUCCACCGUUGAAUGUUUGACCCACUGUUCCAUUGGCAAAUUUUAGCUGAGAGGGCAUUUCAUACUACCGCUCUUCUCAAAUGCCCUCCCAUUGGGAUUGCUCUUAGGAUAUGACCUGCUAGUAUGAGUACGUGCUGAACCAGACAGGAGGUGGCUUAAUUAGCAAUUUGGUGGACUCACUUAGACAAAUUCUAUCAAAAACAUGAUCCACCUUAUUAUAUAUACCAAUGUCAUGUCACCAUAUAUGUGAUCCUCCAAACAAUCCAAAAUCCAAAUAGCCAUCUGCGACAUAUUUGUCCAAACAAUCAUCAGUAAAGUAGAUGCAGUCGCCUUUACAUCCAAAAGCAAUAGUUAAAUGAGCUUCUUCAUGACCAGGUACCAUAGCGUAACGAAUCCUACUUAGCAAAAACAGUUCUCCUUUACAUUCAACCAGAUGUUUCUUGUAAUACAUUAACCUAUGGAGGUUCAGAUAGAACAAAAGGAGAAGAACUUCCAUUUCUUAUCUUUUCCAGGUCUACAACAUGCCAAUUUCCUAUCGAAACCAUAUAUUACGAUCACAACUCCAUUACUAGGACAAUCCGAAAACAUAACAGCCUUGUAUAUAUAAAACUCACACAUUUUCCAGCCAAUAUAUUCUCCUUUUUCCCUUUCUUCGGAACAGAAUAAAGAAGACUACUAUCGCUAGUAAAUACAGGACCAGCAACACCAGGAUAUUCUGUAACAGGUGGAAGAUUAAUUAACUUCUUAGAAAAAGGAUGAAAUACCUGAAUUUCUCCAUUCUGAUGUAAUGUAAUCAACCAACCACCUUUACAAGAACCACAAAUUCAACGAUCAGCAAUUUGGGGUGUUUCGAUUUUGUAAGUUGUUCGAUUAUAGAAACUAAAGAAACCCAAAGUUUGGUUGAAAACAGUAGUUUCACUAGAGUAGUGAUUAUAAGGAACAAUAAGCCAUGGAAGAAGCUUUGGUGGAAGUAAUGGUUUAGCAAAAGAUUCCCAUCUUUUACAAACUAAACUAAAACAAAGUAAAUCAUCAAGAUCGAACCUUAUUACAAUAUUGUCAAGAACGUAGUCAUAAAGAACUAAAAUGGUCAGGAAGUUGUGCAAAAUGAUUUGCCAUUGAAGAAGAAACUUUAGACAAGAAAAAAGAGAUGCUAGCGAGCUCCUCCAAGUAACAGGCAAAAGUUUCUAAGUUGUUGACUUCUUUCUUUUUGUACUGAAUUCUUGUGUUUUCUUAUCUAAUUGUGUCUUAUCUUCAAGAGAUUCUAAUAUGGAAUUGAUGCUCCAUGGGUUCUUAAAACACGUCUGAUGGUUAUUUUGUUCAUUAUCAAGUUAAUUGAGAACAUACAUGGUUGAUUCAAGAUUACACUUUGCAGUCAUUCCCAUAAGGGGUAGGGUUUUAAACAAAUUCUUGAGAUGAAAUAAAUGAUGGGAAUAUUGGGAAAUUUGGAGAUGAGAAACCCUAUGUAUUAAGUAAAUCUCAAACUAAUAAAGUAAUAAUGUUCCUGAUAAAACAAUCAAAGGAAAUCACUCAUGCAACUAGUUAGAAUGUAUCUACAUUGACGAUGAUUGAUUCCCAUAUUUUUACUGAUACUAAUUAAUCACUCACCUUUACCUCCACCAACAUAUUCAAGAUAACUAGAUAAAAGACUGGUGAAAGAAGCAAAACCUUAAAAAUCUGAACAUGAUAACAUGCACCUACUUAUAUCUAGGUAAAAUUUACAACCAUGGUACUUGCUGUAUAUAAUAUUUACAUGCCAAAGAACCGAAACUUACAAAAUACCACAAAAUCCCAAAAUCCGAGAUAUAGACAGUUCUUCACUUCUUUGAUAUCUUCAGACUUCAGUAUACCUAGUCUUCUUCAGCUCCCAAAGCUUAUUCUCCUCUUUUUUACCACAUGCAUUCAGUGCCUGGUUAUCACAUUGAAUUAGUAGGUGAGUCUCUUUAUAAAAACAGAGCAAACAUCUAAUUACCAACAUUUGAUUAGUGGUUAGAUAUUAACGCCAAUGGAAUAUGGUCUACAGCAAGCUAAACGCUUACUAGUACUAAACACCGGAUCACUGGGUCUGGUAUGCCGAGAGAAUCCCAGUACUGCUUUAUUCUAAGAAGUAAGAUAAAAAAUCACAGCCUGGAUUCCAACUUACCAAAAGAUAUGGGGCCUUGAUCUAACAUAUAAUACUUGUGCAGAGAUAAGUUUGAACAUUUUGCUCACGAUAUGAAAAAACAGUUAAAAUAUGAGAUUUACAAGGUUUUUUCUUCUUGAAAUUGUGAUCACACAUUCACAUCUAUUCCAAACAGUUUUCUUCACAUGACAAGGGAAUUUUAUAAGAUUUAAUUAUAAAAAGAAUUUUCUUAACGAUGAAAACCAUCCCACAAGAUCCCAAAACAACACUUAAAACCAGCAACAUAGCAUUAAUGUGACAAGCAAACUCCAAUUAUACAGAAUAUCAAUUGUAAUAAGAAAUUAAGAAUCUAUCAUCAAACAGAAUAGAAGCAACACAUAGUUUUUGUUGAAUCAUAUGAGGAUCUGUCUUCAGAAGGAUUUGUAUUGAUUUAAUAUACAUAUGAGCAUGUGAAUAGCAAGCACUCAGAACUAAAGAGACUUAGUUGCAGAAAACCAUAUAAAAUUCAACAUCUGAAUUAAAGGGAAGAAAAAAACAAAGAAACUUUCACCAUUUGUUUCGCCCUAGACAAGACAUAAUUACUCCUAAAUUUGGAAUUCAAACUAAGUAGUCUCCUCACAAGAAUCAGUGAAGAUGUUUGGCAACCAAAUCAUGAACACUGACAAAUCUCCUAUUGACACCACAAAGCACAAACUGAAUUUGGAUACAGAAAAUCUCUGACAUGGAUGAGAAUUUCAUUGUAGUAGAUAUCUCUUGUAACUUCUACAAUAUAAAAGGUUAAAUCCACAUUAUACUUGGCUAUUGGAACUGUUGUACACAUGUACACACAAAAUAGGUAAACCAUGUCUCAACAUAUUGGCAUUCAAUUCAUAGGGAGGUCCAAAUAAAUAUAUUGAUCAACGUAGCAAGGAUACACUGUAGUAUAGGCAAGGUUAUGUGAAGUAAUUGCAAAACGUCCAAACACAAAGAAUUGUAGAACACUAUAAAGCAAGUAGUAGUGUGAACGUAUAUAUGAUUUUCUUCUAAAGUAAUAACAAUUCCUUGUAGAAGGAUCAUCUUACCUCUUAUCUUAGGAUAAGACCUGCUGCUUUGCUAGUAUUAGCAUGUGGUGAACCAGAGAGGCGGUGGCUUAAUUAGGUUGGACUCACUUGGAUAAAAUCUAUCAAAAGCAUCAGUCUCGUUAUUAUACAUACCAAUGUCAUGUCCACCAUAUAUAUCAUCCUCCAGGCAAUCCAAAUAGCCAUUACUGACAAAUUGGUCCAAACAAUCAUCAGUGAAGUAGAUGCAAUUGCCUUUACAUCCAGGAACAUUCGAAGCUGAUAGACUGAAAAAAUCAUUAUUUCCAACAAACACAGCAGAGUCUUUGUCUAAAUCCUCAACACUCACCCACUUAGGCCCAGUAAGAUCUAUUUUCUUGAUUACAAAAGCCAGAGUCAAAUGAGCUUCUCCAGCACCAGGUUCCAUCGCGCAGCGAACCCUUCUCAGCAAAAACAAUUCUCCUUUACCUUCAACCAGAUGUUUCUUAUAAUACAUUAUCCUAUCUGGUUCAGAUAAUACCAAUUUAACAAAAGGAGAAGAACUUCCAAUCCCACCAAGAACAUAAACAUGCCCCUUAUCUUGCACUGCAUAAAAUUUCCCUUGGUAUAGAAUAACAUCUUCAAAAUUACAAUUAUCAUCACCUUUCAAUGGAAUCCAUUUAUUAUCUUUUCCAGGUCUACAACAUGCCAAUUUCCUAUCGAAACCAUAUAUUACAAUCACAACUCCAUUACUAGGACAAUCAGAAAACAUAACAGCCUUAUAUAUAAAAAACUCACACAUUUUCCUAGCAAAUAUAUUCUCCCUCUUCCGUUUCCUCGGAACACAAUAAAGAACACUACUAUUCUUACUAAAUACAGGACCAACAACAUCAGGAAGUUCUGUAACAGGUGGAAGAUUAAUUAACUUCUUAGAAAAAGGAUGAAAUACCUGAAUUUCUCCAUUCUGAUGUAAUGUAAUCAACCAACCACCUUUACAAGAACUACAAAUUCGUCGAUCAGCAAUUUGGGGUGUUUCUACUUUGUAAGUUCUUUGAUUAUAGAAACUAAAAAAACCCAAAGUUUGAUUGAAAACAGUAGUUUCACUAGUAUAACCAUUAUAAGGAACAAUAAGCCAUGGAAGUAGCUUUGGUGGAAGUAAUUGUUUAGCAAAAGAUUCCCAUCUUUUACAAACUAAACUAAAACAAAGUAAAUCAUCAAGAUCAGCAAACCUUUUUACGAUAUUGUUUAGAAGCUGGUCGGGAAGUUCUGCAAAUCGAUUUGCCAUUAAAGAAAAACUCUUUGAGCACAACUAAACUAGGGUUUGGUUACUAGUUGAUAUUCCAAAACCAUCUAUUUAUAGUAUUUAAUAGAGAAAUGCUAGCUUUACUGCGGAGGUAACGCUCUAGGCUUAUCUCUCACCAGAUUUUGACAUGUGUACCACUGUACCUAUUGAACUUAGUUAAGAUUUUAGUCGGUUUGAAAUUUUGCAUAGAGAUUUUAGGAGAGAGAAAUAGUGGAAAAAAAAUAAAAAAAAAUCUUCCCCUACUCUCAAAUCUCAAUCUCAAUCUUACAGUUUUUUUUAAUUUGUGAUAUUAGUAUCUGUUAUGAAAAAAAUAAAAUUUUAGAAUAAAAAAGAGUUGCACAGUUGAAUUGGCUAUAUUAUUUUUUAUGGGUUUUUUUUAUGCAAUUAGAAGAAUAACGAAGCAAAUCCUAGUUAUCAAUGGUUAGAUUUUUUUUAUUUUUAUUUUUUUUUGUCAAAUAAAGCUUAUUUGGAAGAAAGAGGCUAUUGUAAUUAUUAGGAUUCUUUUUUUUUUAUUUUUUUUCUAUUUUUUCUUUACUAUUUUUCUCUCCUAAAAACUCUUCCUAUCGUGGAAUAUAUGCAAACCGGCUAAAACCUUAACCAAGUUCAACAAGUACACAUGGCGAGAUUUGGUGAGGAGGUAAGCUUGGAGCGUCACCUCUGCAGUAACGCUAGCAUUUCUCUAUUUGAAAAAUUAUUUAAUAUUAUAACCGACUUCCUUAUAUCUUUGGACCUGGGCCUUUAAGCCCUGAACCAAUACGAGGCCCAGGUAACUCACUCGUGAAAGUGUAUUAUCUUUUAUCUUCUCCCAGUCUUUCACAGUUGGUUAUGGCUUCUUCACUUGGUUCAAAUCUGAGUUUUUUCACUUCAUCUUCUUCAACCACCAAACUACAGAAAACCAGAAGGAAUGUUACAAUACGAUGUGGACCACGAGACAAUCGUGGUCCAAUUCAAAAAGGUAGAAUUUUAAGUAUAGAAGCAAUUCAAGCAAUACAAGCAUUAAAAAGAGCUAAAUCAGAUGAAACAAAGCUAGCUACACUCAUUUCCAAAACCCUAACUCGUCUUGUUAAGAAUGAUCUUAUUGCUUCACUUAAUGAGUUACUUAGACAAAAUCAAUGUGAUUUAGCUCUUAAAGUAUUCUCAACCGUUAGAUCAGAAUUAUGGUAUAAGACAGAUUGGUCUUUAUAUGCUAAUAUGGUAUCGGGUUUAGCAAGAAAUGGUAUGUCAGAAGAUAUUAACCGUUUGAUGUUGGAUUUGGAAGAAGAAGGAUUGGUGAAAAAUGAUUCUAAUGGUAUCUCGAGGCUUUUAAAGGCUUUGAUUGCUGCAGAGAUGAAUGAAUGUGUGGUUAGGAUUUAUGGAAUAAUGAAGAAAGGUGGAUGGGAGUGUAAGGAUGAGAAAGAUGAGUAUGUGGUUAAGGUUUUGAAUAGAGGGUUAAGGAGAUUGGGAGAAGAAGAAGUUGCUGAUGAGGUUCAAAAGGAAUAUGGUAGUUUGUGUGAGGGUAAAUUAGUGAAACCUGUUGUUUUAUGAUAAAUGAUUAGAGAGGAUAAUUAUGGUUUUAUUUAUAAGCUGUUUUUCUGCUGUAUUUUUCUAUUUUUCACCUUUUAUUAGAGAAUGGAAAGAAGCCACUAUAAUAAUUCUGUAAUACUUUUUCAUUAGUUCAUUUUACAAUAAAAAACGAUUUCAGGAAUGAAUACAUCUUUGUAGCACUGAUGGUGGCUCGAAACCUGAAGCCUUCAUCAACUACACGGUACCUGACUUGUAUAAAAGACUCUGGGUCUUGUACAAAGCUGGAUUCAAAGAUAGACCAUGGUCUUUUUUUGGUAAACCAAGAUAAACUAUCGUCACAGGGAAUUAUACUGUAUCCAAAUUAUAUGUUCAAAAUUUCAGGCACAAUUUCAUACAAUAUUCAACUUUAUGACUGUACUGUAUAUUAGCUUCAUCGAUUCCAAUCGAUCAUCUUCUUAUCAACCACCCAAGUUAACAUUUGUGCACUCUACAUAUCUUUACCAAUACAUCUGUUAAGAAUCAUUGAAAGUUUGAAACAUCUGGAUAAGCAAAUAAGCAUGGACUCCCUGGCUCUCUGCCCCUUAUGUACAGUAAGUAAUUCCUAGAGCAUAAGGGCAUUUCUAAUGGUUCACCGAAUUUGAUGGGUCACCUCAGCAGAUUUGGCACCUAUUUGAUGAAAAAAAACUUAUUUCUAAUGGUUCACCAAAUUAAGGCGGGUAAUGAAGUGCCACUUGAGUUGGGCGGGCUUUGAAGAGCCACUUAAAAAAAAAAUUAGUUAAGGCGGACAUCCAAAUGCCACUUAACCCAACAGUUAGUUGAGGCGGACAAUGAAGUGCCGCUUAAGAAAAAGCUAAAUAAGAAUUCAGUUGAGGCGGACAUCCAAGUGCCACUUAAUUGAAGUGGGCUUUGGAGUGCCACUUGAAGCGGCACUUCAUUACCCGCUUUAAGUGAAACGACCUUCUCUUGCCCGCCUCAACCCAGUAUCAAAUUUGAUGUUUUUCAUCAAAUUUUCACCAAAUUUGAUGAACUUUUAAUGAUCCAUUAGGGCAUCCCUAAUGGUUUUUUUGUUUUGGUGGUCCACCUAAGCACAUUUGAUACCCAUUUUGUAUUUAUUUGCUACCAAAAAUCGUUUUCUCUAAUGGUUCAUCACUUGAGCGGGCAACAAAGACCCGUUUUGGUUAAGCGGUCAUUUAAAACCCGCUUAUUUGGGGCGGGCAAUGGGGUGCCGCUUGUAUUAACCUAUUUCUAGAUUAAUGCACUGCUGGGUCAGGUCGCUAGGGAGACUUGACCAAAUGGGGAUAUUGGAGAUCGGGGUGGCUGCACCUCGUUGAGAUCGAGAUUGCCUACGUACUCUAGCUCGGGGGAAUUGAACUUUAUUAUAGUAGUGGUGAUACAAAAUGGGAGCUCGAUAAUGGAGAGAGCUCAAGAGAGAGAUGAGACCUGAGAGGUGAGGUCUCAUCAUGAGAGAUUAGGGAGGUCGUUGAUAUUGAAACCUCACCAUGAGAUAGUGGUGAGAGCAUUAGACUAUCAGACCAUCUGAGCAGAGAUGAGAACAUCUCUAGAAUGAGUAGCUUGCCUUCAUAUUUAUAGGCUUACAAUGUAACUCCAUUCCUAGCAUUUAAUGAGGUAAUGAUGAGAGAAUAUCUUUGUAGUAAUUGGCUUUAACUUUGUAACUUGUGCCAUCAAGAGAGAGUCCAUUAGAUGAUGACAUGUGGCACCAUGAUGAACGGUAGAGAUGGUGCCACAUGUAUGUUGUAUGUAGUACCCCUACAUAAGCCCCCUCUUUUUAGGUUGAACGGAGUUCGGGCUGAAAAGAAGUAAUCGAACCGAUCUAGCCCCCAAGAUGAAUGAAAUAUGGGGUUCCUUAAAGAAGUCGAUCCGCCCCAAAUUUUGAUGAGCUUGAUCAUUGAGAUUUGCAGGACGCGAUGAAGGUCCCUUGUGGUUAUGGCAACUCGAUCAUGAAUUUGUGUAUAGCGAGCUAGUUACUUCCAGGGAGACUUGGUAGCUCGUUCAGAAGGCAUGUAGACGAGAUGGACAGCUGCAAGCAGGUCGUACUGAAGUGGGUCUUCUUGUAUGCAUGGGUUGUUGGUCUCGGUCAUGCUUUAAGGUGGUCGCCUUUUUGUGGUCGAGUUGCAUAGACCUGAUAAUGUUAGCAUGUGAAACAUUAUAAAAUUCAAUAAAAGACUUACAUGGAAUUGUACGUCUUUCUUAUGACUUGUAUGUACUAUCUUUGUCGCCUUGUGACUGGACACUUCGAUAGAUAUGGCACUUUGGAGUGCAAUGUAGCUCGUUUGAGAAAGGGCAUUGGUUGACCAAGUGUUUUGAGAGUUACUUGGAACCUUUUGGUGCCCGAUCUAGUGAAUGGUCGCAGCGUGGAGACCUGUUUGACAAUUCUCGGGCAUGUGGCCUUUGUGGGUCUGCAUUGCGUUGAGAGUGAAUGCGUUCGACCAGGCGUGUGGCUAGAGAAUUGUGUUUGAGGUCGUCCCGCAUACGAGUGACUCACUAGUCAAUGAGGGUGGCCGUAUUGUAUAUCAAGCAUUUCACUUGUAGAGAGUUCAGUGAAAGCAAUGUAGCACAUUUGUGCAAAAAUAGCUCGUGGGGAGUGCGGUCGUGUUCAUGUGACCUGCACAUAGAGAGAGCUACAAAAAAUAUCAUUAAUAGCUAAUUGUGCUAAUAAUAAGUUAAUUUCAUUAGAUAAAGUGAGAAUAGCCCCCUGUAUGGCAUAAAUGUUCUUGAGGUCGUUGAAAGACCUGUAAUUUGAGGAGGUCAUUGAUAGACCUGGUGAGGUCGCGAUGAAGGACCUGGCAUGAAGGACCUGGUAUGAGGGACCUGGCAUGAAGGACCUGGUAUGAGGGACCUGAAAGGUCGUUGGAUUAGGGACCUGAGAGGUCGUUGGCUUAGGGACCUGCGAGGUCGUUGGCUUAGGGACCUGAGAGGUCGUUGGCUUAGGAAUGACUCCAAGUCCGCUAUUUUCCCCUUGCUGGGGGUUGGUUUGUGCGGCCUUUAGACGUUCAUUUUCUUCCUGCAGACGUGUAAUCUGUGCCUGCAGAUCUUGGAUAGUAACUUCCUGAUUAGUCAUUUGGAAUGGGAGAUUUUGAUUUUGUGGGUGGGAGGGUUUGGGUUUUCGAUUAUAUCGAAUUCCUUGCAGUCGGCGCCAAAUGUAUUAACCUUAUUUGUGAGGUUGGUCAAUACAUUAAUGAAAGAUGAUGAUGUGUAAAUGAUAUGAACAAUAAUAAUAAAGUAGAGACAUGAACACCAUUGUAUACGUGGUUCGGCAAUUGUGCCUACAUCCACGGAGAGAGAGAAUGAUCUUUAUUAUAGUAGUGGUGAUACAAAAUGGGAGCUCGAUAAUGGAGAGAGCUCAAGAGAGAGAUGAGACCUGAGAGGUGAGGUCUCAUCAUGAGAGAUUGGGGAGGUCGUUGAUCAUGAGACCUCACCAUGAGGUCGUGUUGGGAGCAUCAGGCUAUCAGACCAUGUGUGGAAUGAGUGAUUUGCCUUCAUAUUUAUAGGCUUACAAUGUAACUCCAUUCCUAGCAUUUAAUGAGGUAAUGAUGAGAGAAUAUCUUUGUAGUAAUUGGCUUUAACUUUGUAACUUGUGCCAUCAAGAGAGAGUCCAUUAGAUGAUGACAUGUGGCACCAUGAUGAACGGUAGAGAUGGUGCCACAUGUAUGUUGUAGAAGAACUGUUUCAGUACGUCCUGCUUGCAGCUGUCCAUCUCGUCUACAUGCCUUCUGAACGAGCUACCAGGUCUCCCUGGAACUAAAUAGCUCGUCAUACACUAAUUCAUGAUCGAGUUGCCAUUACCACAAGGGACCUUCAUCGCGUCCUGCAAAUCUCAAUGAUCAAGCUCAUCAAAAUUUGGGGCGGAUCGACUUCGUUAAAGAACCCCAUAUUUCAUUCAUCUUGGGGGCUAGAUCGGUUCGAUUGCUUCUUUUCAGCCCGAACUCCGUUCCCCUAAAAAGAGGGGGCUUAUGUAGGGGUACUAUAUACAACAUACAUGUGGCACCAUCUCUACCGUCCAUCAUGGUGCCACAUGUCAACAUCUAACGGGCUCUCUCUUGAUGGCACAAGUUACAAAGUUAAAGCCAAUUACUACAAAGAUAUUCUCUCAUCAUUACCUCAUUAAAUGCUAGGAAUGGAGUUACAUUGUAAGCCUAUAAAUAUGAAGGCAAAUCACUCAUUCCACACAUGGUCUGAUAGCCUGAUGCUCCCAACACGACCUCAUGGUGAGGUCUCAUGAUCAACGACCUCCCCAAUCUCUCAUGAUGAGACCUCACCUCUCAGGUCUCAUCUCUCUCUUGAGCUCUCUCCAUUAUCGAGCUCCCAUUUUGUAUCACCACUACUAUAAUAAAGAUCAUUCUCUCUCUCCGUGGAUGUAGGCACAAUUGCCGAACCACGUAUACAAUGGUGUUCAUGUCUCUACUUUAUUAUUAUUGUUCAUAUCAUUUACACAUCAUCAUCUUUCAUUAAUGUAUUGACCAACCUCACAAAUAUGGUUAAUACACCGCUCAACAUAAUGUUUGGUUAAGUUGGACUUUGAGCGGGUAAUGAAGGACCGCUCAAAGCGGGUGUCACCUUGAGCGGGUAAUGAAGGACCGCUCAAAGCGGGUGUUCAUGAGCCGCUUAGGAAGAGCGGUUCUCUCUUGCUCGCUCAAGUGUGGUAUCAAAUUUCUUCAAAAACACCAAAUUUGAUGAAAAUUUGCUACCAACUCAAAUUUGAUGGUCCAUUAGAGAUGAGUUUUGUUGGUUUUUUACCAAAUUUGAGUUUGAUACCAGAUUUGGUGGUCCAUUAGGGAUGGACUUAGAUGGAGUUUUUCUCACUUUCUCAUUCAGCCCGAGCCUGGUUGAGGUGGGGACAGAUUUGAUGAACCAUUAGAGAUGCCCUAACAAGCUGACAAUGUACCUCGACUUUACAUAACUAACCCAGCUCCACACGAGCUGAAGUAAACCCAAAGAGUCUAUAUAAUAAGUCCAACUUGUACCUAGAAGAAAGUGCCCUUAGCAAUCAUCGCAACUACCAAAUUCAUUGCCAUCGCUUAAAGAGUGCUGCUUUGGUAGUCCACUACUCCACUCCAUGUCUCCAUAGAACAAUAAUAACCGCUAGUCUUUCAACAGUUUUACAGAGCUCACCAAGCUCUGUAACACUAACACAACUCUCUCUCUCUCUCUUCGAAGAGAUGCUCAGUGAAACCCUAGCUUCUACUUCUUCGACUACACUUUCUCUUCCACAACAGAAUGCUUGGAUUGAUGUUUACCAAAGAUUACACCCUCAAUGGAAAUCCAUCGUUGAUUCUUCUCAGGUUUUAAUUUCAAAUUUAGGUUUCUUUUUUCGCAAAAAUUCGACCACUUUCCCUCUUUU